rnacentral:rRNA from 1 species
AUGGGAGCCAAAACGAAAUCACACGAUCCAUCUACCCAAAUCCAUGCCCCAUGGCAUCAUCCAUUUCUCAGUUUUCAUCUCCCCGUGUGGAGGCACGCGAUGCAUCAUCUCCUUUCCCCAGUUUCAGAAUCUUCAUCAAACCCCAGAUGCCUCCUGAGAAGCUGGAUCAUUAGAGUCUACAAGUUCGUCCCUGCGACGCUUCUCCUCAGCAUCUUCCACAAGUUUAGCAACGAAAGCAUACCUAAAAUCAUCAUGAGCAGAAGGAGCAAUGGUACAUCCAUCGAAGUUUUGAGUUACAACUUCCAAUCCAAAGCGCCGGAUCAGUCUGUUCUGGUAGGACUUGUUGCAGUCAUAGUACUUGUCCCUCAGGUCCUGAGCCAUCAAGCCGGCUUCAAUCGUAAUGCCCAGCAGCGCAGCCUUCCGAACCAAAAGAUCAGCAUCAGAACAAUCCUGAUGAGGACCUUGCAUGCAGUUCAGGGCGAGCUCCCGGACCCGCGUGCUCUCGUGGGGGGAUUCCUCCGGGUCCAGAAGACCGGGGUCGCAGCCCAGCCUCUCGAUGAUCAGCUCGGUCUCCUUGGCGACGCACGCGGCGGCGAUCAUGGCGAUGGAAGAACCUUCGCCGCCGUCGGAGAGGAUGAGGUUCAGGGCGCACCUGUGGAUGUCGUCGCUCAGCCUGAUCUCGUCCGGGGAGACGACGGACCGCCGGGACAGCCACUGGGACUUCAGGUUGAUCUCCUGCUCCAUGCACAGCCUGUAGGCGUCGGGACCGGGACGGAGGAGUGCGCCGUUGCGGCCGCAGAACUUCUGGAGGUACGCGCGGUACGGGCACCAGUCGUCCAGAGCUUGAGGGUACAGGCGAUCGGAUCCCCACGCUCGCUCGAAGAGACGGGGGAAGUGGAUCAUCAGCAAGGGAGGAACGGGGCUGUCGGGAUCGGGAUCCCCAGGCUCCUGACUGGGGUCGACGAAUUGGUCACACCAUGA